UGCUGCCAGACUCUUGGGGUUGGAGGGGGGCGCUACCUUUUUCCCAGUGGCCUGAGCCCCAAAUCUGAGUCAUUCUGGCCUCCAUCUACCUCACCCUCUACCAUCCAUCCAUUAACCAACUCCUGUAGCCUCUAACUCCCAAAUAUUUUUCCAUAUCCAUCUACUUUUCUCCAUGCUUGUAGCUUCCUACCCUACGUCUGCUAUUAUUUUUUUACUUUAAUUUUUUUUUUUAAGAGGCAAUCUUGCUCUCUCACCCAGGCAGGGGUAUAGUGGCCCAGUCAUAGCUCACUGCAGCCUUGAACUCGGGCUCAAGCGAUCCUGUCGUUUUAGCCUCCUGAGUAGCUGGGAUUAUAGGUGCACACCACCAUACCCAGGUAAUUUUAAUUUUUUUUGUAGAGAUAGUGGUCUCGCUAUUUGCUCAGGCUAGUGCUGGAUUCCUGGCCUCAAGUGAUCUUCCUAGCUUGGCCUCCCAGAGUGCUGGGAUUAUAGGCCUGAGCCACCAAGGCUGGCCAGUCAGUCUGCCAUUAUCCUUCACCUGGUUUACUGCAAGGGCUUCACAGCUCAUCUCCUUUCUUCAAGCUUGCUCACUCCUUCCACCAAUUCAUUGUCCUCAGUGUUGCCAGGGAGCUGUUUCUAAGAUGCAAAUUUAAGCACUCUGUGUUCCUGCUUAACACCUUCCAACAGCUAUCCCCAUUUACUCUGAAGAGAAACAUCUUUUUCUUUUGAAAGGAUAUUUUAUGUUAUUCCUCCUUACCACCCCAGUCUCAUCUUACUGUCCUCCGUAAUACUUGUCCUUCCGUCUGCUGCCUUCACACUGAAUUCCUAAACCUUUGAUAUAUUUUCACCUUCAGGCCUUCCAGCAAGUUGUUCCUUCUGCCUGGAAUGUCCCCCAACAUCUGGCCUUAGUAACUGCUACUUACCCUUCCAGCCUUGUCAUAGAAGUCAUUUCUGGGAUGCCCUUCCUGCUCUCCCAAAUCUGGAUUCCGUGCUCCCUUAUAUUAGUGAGGUUGGAGAGGUUGAACGUGAUCUUGAACUUCUUGAACUCAUCUUUCCCAUCCCAUCUGCUCUGCUCAUGUUGCCUGACUCAGUGCAAGGGUGCUGGCUCCUUCCCAGUGGAAGGAGACAUCCCUAUCUGCUGUUCUGUCUGCUUCACCUGAUAGACAGUACACUGUGCUAGGGCAGACACAGUCACGUGCUAUUCUUUCUGUAUCUCAGCACCUAGCAUGGGGCCUGGACCUUAUUAGAUGUGUCAUAGAGUUUUGUUCAUUCCCUGCAAGAGGAUUAGAGAUACAAACUCUCAGAGCCCAAAUACCUUGAAUGUAUUCUGCAGCCGUGUAUUUUAUCCUGUAUAAGAACAUCAAGUCUGUAGUCACAGACAGAAUCUGACCUGGGAAGGAACGAUUCACACACUCAUACAAUGAAUGUUGAUUUUAUUAGGUGAGUCUGCUUUUAUAAAUCCAAGUAAACAAGGUUAUAAAAAUGACUACCUCAAAUAAAAUAGCUCUUAAUGUACCUCCUCUUCCUUCACACCACCCACUUUGGGAAGCACUGUUGACUGGAAGUACUCAAUUGAACAUCCCAUUGAAGAAAGCCUUGUGACAUUUGCUUCUUAAAAGCAACAGUAGUAACAAAACUACCCAGAAGACAAGGGCCUGAGCUCCAUCCCCCUCCUGAGUGUUUGUAGGUAAGGAAGACUCAGGAAAGAAAGCUGACUUUUUUCAAGGUUUUAUUUUAAUUUAAAAGACAUUGUUCGUGCAAAACUGUUGGUAGUUCUUACAAAACAUCCCUUCCACAUUCCCCUCAGGCUGUGAUAAUGCACGCUUUGAGUUCUCCCAUGGGACUUUCAGCACAGCACCCAGGUGACUAGUUAGCUAUACUUUGGAGCCCUCAAGACAGUCCCUUGAAGAAAAGGGGCAGGCUCGCUGUAGCUGGAGUCUGAAGCCCCUCACAGGGCCUGGGACUGCUGUGUGCAGCCUGCCUGUAACCCUUAAGGUCAUGCUCUGCUGUCACAGAACCCAGUGUCUGCCUAAUGGGGGUGUCUUAAAGCUGAGAACGUUUUUCCAUCACCAGGAAAGUGCUUUUCCCCAUCCACCAGGGAUCCCUGAGCCAGAGCAGGUCAUUCUGAGGCCAACUCUGGCUGGAACGCAGGUUUCUUAAGCAGUGGGUUGCUUAGGUCACCAGUUCCCUGGUCCCUUCUUUUGUCUUCUGGGGGCCUGGCCAUGGCUGAUGUUUUCAGUUCCUGCAGGUAAGCAUCUUCAUUUCUCUAUGAUGUCUCCAUAUGGUGACAAUGGGACUUGUUUAUAGGCCACGAUGCUGUAAGAAUUGACCAUAGAGAGUUACAAGAGAACAGCUGGAAUGGGGUAAAGGUGAAACUGCCCUCACAGGGUUAAUGAUAAUUACAAGCCAGGCUUUAGGCAAAAUCAUAGGUAGGCAUUGACCAAGGUGUGCUGGUGCACUGUGACCCAUCUCCCUGCAGCUGCUAGCUAAAAGGAGCAUGUUGACCAUUUGCUUCCCCAUUGUUCCUUUAGAUAGAAUCUCUGGGGGCCAGGCAUGGUGGCUUAUGCCUGUAAUCCCAACAGUUUGGGAGGUUGAGGCAGGUGGAUCACCUGAAGUCAGGAGUUCGAGACCAGCCUGGCCAACCUGGUGAAACCCCAACUCUACUAAAAAUACAAAAAUUAGCUGGGCAUGGUGGCAGGCGCUUGUAAUCCCAGCUACUCGGGAUGCUCAGGCAGGAGAAUCACUUGAACCUGGGAGGCGGAGGUUGCAGUGAGCCAAGAUUGCGCCAUUGCACUCCAGUCUGGGUGACAGACUGAGAUUCUGUCUCAAAAAAAAAAAAAAAAAGAAUCUCUGAUACUGGACCUUUUUACUUAAGAAUUGCUUAAGGUGUUUUUCAGAUCCUGAAUUCCAGCAGAAUGGCUAGUGCCAACCAGCCUGAAGACCCUCACCAAGGAACCAACUCAGCACAGGAAUGCCAUUUCUUCAUCUCCCUGUCCCAUGAUUUCACCCCUCACUUCUUGACCAAUCAGCGAUCCCUACACUAGCUCAUCACCCAUCCAGACCCCUUGGAAGCCCAUCCCCAACCUCCCUGGUUCAUUCCAGUCUUGCAAGUACUGAACUUCUCCAUUUCCCAUAACAUCAUGAGCCCUUUGCAUCCACAUUUUCUUUUUCCUGGAAUCUCUUUCCAUCUCACUUCUGCCUGAGGAUGAACUCCCAUCUAUAUCUCAAGAUCAAGAUUAAGCCUUUGCU
rnacentral:lncRNA from 10 species